rnacentral:rRNA from 1 species
GACACUGAGGCACGAAAGCGUGGGGUAUCAAACAGGAUUAGAUACCCCUGGUAGUCCACGCAGUAAACGAUGAAUACUAGCUGUUGGCGAUAUAUGGUCAGCGGUACAGCGAAAAGUGUUAAGUAUUUCCACCUGGGGAGUACGCCCGGCAACGGUGAAACUCAAAAGGAAUUGAACGGGGGCCCGCACAAGCGGAGGAACAUGUGGUUUAAUUCGAUGAUACGCGAGGAACCUUACCCGGGCUUGAAAGUUAGUGACGGCGGAUGAAAGUCUGCUUCCCUUCGGGGCACGAAACUAGGUGCUGCAUGGUUGUCGUCAGCUCGUGCCGUGAGGUGUCGGCUUAAGUGCCAUAACGAGCGCAACCCUUGCCGUUAGUUGCCAGCGGGUAAUGCCGGGAACUCUAGCGGGACUGCUACUGUAAGGUAGAGGAAGGUGGGGAUGACGUCAAAUCAGCACGGCCCUUACGUCCGGGGCGACACACGUGUUACAAUGGUGAGUACAGAGGGUUGCUACUUGGUGACAAGAUGCUAAUCUCCUAAAACUCAUCUCAGUUCGGAUCGGAGUCUGCAACUCGACUCCGUGAAGCUGGAUUCGCUAGUAA